rnacentral:rRNA from 1 species
UGGGGAAUAUUGGACACUGGGGGGAACCCUGAUCCAGCCAUGCCGCGUGUGUGAAGAAGGCCUUAUGGUUGUAAAGCACUUUAAGCGAGGAGGAGGGUACUGGUAUUAAUACUACCAGGUACUGGACGUUACUCGCAGAAUAAGCACCGGCUAACUCUGUGCCAGCAGCCGCGGUAAUACAGAGGGUGCGAGCGUUAAUCGGAUUUACUGGGCGUAAAGCGUGCGUAGGCGGCUAAUUGAGUCGGAUGUGAAAUCCCCGAGCUUAACUGGGGAAUUGCAUGCGAUACUGGUUAGCUAGAGUGUGGGAGAGGAUGGUAGAAUUCCAGGUGUAGCGGUGAAAUGCGUAGAGAUCUGGAGGAAUACCGAUGGCGAAGGCAGCCAUCUGGCCUAACACUGACGCUGAGGUACGAAAGCAGGGGGAGCAAACAGG